AUCCUUUUGCAGUACAUAAGCAUGAUGUUUGGGUUUUUCAUGUGCAUCUGUGAUAAGUACCUUCCUCAAACCCUGUUACAAUGGUGGCUCACAUCUGUAA
ensembl:snoRNA